UGCCCAUUAAGGACUUUAGUACAAAACUACCAUCUUCUAUAGGUCAUUAUAUCGUUUUUGUUUUUGAGACAGAGUCUCACUCUGCCACACACAUUGCAGUGCAGUGGCGCAGUCUUGGUUCACUGCACCCUCCCUGUCCCAGGCUCAAAUCGUCCUCCCACCUCAGCCUUCCAAGUAGCCAGGAAUACAGUCAAGGGAGAAGCAGUGAUGUUUUAGUAUCCAGAAAGUGGAAAUAACCCAAAUGCCCAUCAACAGCAGAAUGAAAUUGUACUAUAUUCACACCAUGGAAUAUUGUAUAGCAAAGAGAAUGAAUGAACUAUUAACAGAAAAGACAUGGACAAAUCUCAUAAACAUGAUGCUGAAAGAAACCACAGUCAAAAAAGAAGAUGCUUCCCAACCUUUUGCAGACCAUGGCAUACGCAGAAAAUGACAACAUCGGAAUGGCACACUGGCAUACCAGUUGGGGAUCCUUGCAGUCAAUGCUGACUGGACUCAUCCUUCAGCCGCCCCCAAGAAGAGAGAGAUCAAUACCUUGGCACAUCUGUGGGAAAGCUCCCAUUAGAGAGUGUGGGGAAGACACAGGCCUCCACAACACAUUUCAGACUAGUGUUUACCUACACUUGCCUGUGUGGAAAUCAGAAGAUUAAAGGAAUGCGAUGUGAUCUUUUUGUAAUUUCCCCACUUGGGUCAAGGGAAAAGCUGGUCAAGAGUAAACCAUUAAUUCAUCCCCCUGCAGGCCCCCCAAUCUUCCCUAGAAUUCUGGGUUAAUGAUUCUGAGGUUGUUUUCCUCACAGAGCCAAUUCAUAUCUAAUCUUUGGCAUGUUCCCCCCUUUAUUAAGAAUAACUUGACUCACCCCAUUAAUUCCUCAUCCUGGGGUCACGAGCCUUGUUUUGCAGAAGGAAAUGGUGGCUGUGUGUAUGUCUUGGGCCUUCUUUCUUUCUCAAACCCCUUUCUUUCAUGGAUUCAUGCCUACAAUUCCCUCUGUGGACAGAAGAGACCUCUCCUUACCUGCAUAAUGAAAUGUGUGACUUUUCUCAAAAGUAGCUUUAGGAAUUAACUGUGGAGGUCCAAGUAGCAAGGAUGCUGUGACCUAACUCGUUACCCCCUCACGUGUGGUUUGGAAUCCCAGCAGAAAAAAUUUCCUGAAGAUCUGGUACGGAGAAACCAUUCUGGGCCUGGCUUUUAAAUGUUUUAUUAGCAGCUGGGCGAGGACUGGGCUGCAAAGAGAUGCAGCCCCCGUCAGAAGCGAUCCCUGUUGGGGAGCAAGGCCUGGAAUUCCAGGAGGGAGGUCUGUUUAUAGCUGAGGCAGAGGCUGGGGAGCGAAGCCUGGGAGCCAGACAUGGCUUAAGGGUGGUCUGGACACUCUUGAGAUAAGGCCAACUAAGGACUAUGAGCUCAUUGAAGUUCCAAAGCCAACUCACAGCAGCUCACCACCAGACAUGUCCCCUGCCCCCACAUUCCCUCCUCUCAAUCCAGGAAUUUUGGUGCUCAUCUCUAUAAAGUUUUAGACCAUGGUGGUAGGAACCUGGUAAGUCUCAGGUUCUUGCAUUGCCCGAUUCUCCUUGGAUUUGCUGGGUUUGCCUCCUUCCCAUGUCUCAGACAGGGCUUUGCAUAAAGAAGUGGGCUGGUAGAUCUGCAAAGGUCCCUCUGUGUGACUGGAGCAAGUUACCCUCUUGAGCCUCAGUGUCCUCUUCUGUAAAAUAGGGAUAUCAUUCUUUCUUUCCCAAGGCUUUUGGUAAUAAUGUCAUUCUCAUGUGAUUCUUAACAAAAUGGGCCUUUCAGACUUAGAUCACUUUUGUGCAUGCAUAAAAAUGAAAGCAUUGAGGAGAAGGAAUUGGUGAAUAUAUGUCUGGAGCAAUAACUUCAUCAGAACUGCCACGGUGGUUGUAGGACCAUUCUGAUUCCAGAGGUAUUAAAAUGCAAAACACAAUGUUGAAAUGCAAAACCCAACAAAAUAAUAAACAGCCUUGUACCUACCGCCUCCCUUAAGAACUAAAACAAUUCCCAACACCACUGAAAGACUGUGUUCACCUCCUUGAUCCAAUCUCUUGCCUUUCCACCCCAGAGAAAACCACUGUCCUGAAUUUUUUCCCACUCCCUUGGUUUUGUUUUACCAAACAUGUAUCCAAUAUGUAACAUAUUAUUUGUAUUUGAUCUUGUUUUUGAAUUGUCCUGUAGGUAGAAUUAUAUCUUAUUCUGCAAUUUGCUUUUUAAAGUUUUUGAAAGAGCAAAACUUAUCUAUGCUAAUACGCUAAUGUGUGUAGCUGCCAUUUAUUUGUCACUGCAUAUACCCCUCUCAAUUCUGUUGAUGGAAAUUUAGGCAGUUUCCAGUAUUAUUUUGCUACAAACAUUCUCAUGGCUGUCUCCUGCAACAUGUGUGUUUCUUGGGAGUAUAC
rnacentral:lncRNA from 1 species